UACGUAGGGUGCGAGCGUUAAUCGGAAUUACUGGGCGUAAAGCGUGCGCAGGCGGUUCGUUGUGUCUGCUGUGAGAGCCCCGGGCUCAACCUGGGAAUGGCAGUGGAAACUGGCGAGCUGGAGUGUGGCAGAGGGGGGUGGAAUUCCGCGUGUAGCAGUGAAAUGCGUAGAGAUGCGGAGGAACACCGAUGGCGAAGGCAGCCCCCUGGGCUGACACUGACGCUCAGGCACGAAAGCGUGGGGAGCAAACAGG
rnacentral:rRNA from 1 species